CCCUUAGAUGUUCUGGGCCGCACGCGUGCUACACUGACCGGUGCAACAAGUUUCUUUCCUUGGCUCGAUAGGCCUGGGUAAUCUUUGAACACCGGUCGUGGUAGGGAUCGGAGCUUGCAAUUGUUCUCCGUGAACCAGGAAUUCCCAGUAAGCGCAAGUCAUAAGCUUGCGUUGAUUACGUCCCUGCCCUUUGUACACACCGCCCGUCGCUACUACCGAUUGAACGUUUUAGUGAGGUAUUUGGACUGGACCUUCGGAGGUUCGCGCCUCCGUUGCUGUUCGGGAAGACUCCCAAACUUGAGCGUUUAGAGGAAGUAAAAGUCGUAACA
rnacentral:rRNA from 1 species